rnacentral:rRNA from 1 species
AUGAACGCUAGCGACAGGCUUAACACAUGCAAGUCGAGGGGCAGCGGGGGUAGCGAUACCCGCCGGCGACCGGCGCACGGGUGAGUAACGCGUAUGCAACUUGCCUAUCAGAGGGGGAUAACCCGGCGAAAGUCGGACUAAUACCGCAUGAAGCAGGGAUCCCGCAUGGGAUAUUUGCUAAAGAUUCAUCGCUGAUAGAUAGGCAUGCGUUCCAUUAGGCAGUUGGCGGGGUAACGGCCCACCAAACCGACGAUGGAUAGGGGUUCUGAGAGGAAGGUCCCCCACAUUGGUACUGAGACACGGACCAAACUCCUACGGGAGGCAGCAGUGAGGAAUAUUGGUCAAUGGCCGAGAGGCUGAACCAGCCAAGUCGCGUGAGGGAUGAAGGUUCUAUGGAUCGUAAACCUCUUUUAUAAGGGAAUAAAGUGCGGGACGUGUCCCGUUUUGUAUGUACCUUAUGAAUAAGGAUCGGCUAACUCCGUGCCAGCAGCCGCGGUAAUACGGAGGAUCCGAGCGUUAUCCGGAUUUAUUGGGUUUAAAGGGUGCGUAGGCGGCCUUUUAAGUCAGCGGUGAAAGUCUGUGGCUCAACCAUAGAAUUGCCGUUGAAACUGGGGGGCUUGAGUAUGUUUGAGGCAGGCGGAAUGCGUGGUGUAGCGGUGAAAUGCAUAGAUAUCACGCAGAACCCCGAUUGCGAAGGCAGCCUGCCAAGCCAUUACUGACGCUGAUGCACGAAAGCGUGGGGAUCAAACAGGAUUAGAUACCCUGGUAGUCCACGCAGUAAACGAUGAUCACUAGCUGUUUGCGAUACACUGUAAGCGGCACAGCGAAAGCGUUAAGUGAUCCACCUGGGGAGUACGCCGGCAACGGUGAAACUCAAAGGAAUUGACGGGGGCCCGCACAAGCGGAGGAACAUGUGGUUUAAUUCGAUGAUACGCGAGGAACCUUACCCGGGUUUGAACGCAUUCGGACCGAGGUGGAAACACCUUUUCUAGCAAUAGCCGUUUGCGAGGUGCUGCAUGGUUGUCGUCAGCUCGUGCCGUGAGGUGUCGGCUUAAGUGCCAUAACGAGCGCAACCCUUGCCACUAGUUACUAACAGGUGAUGCUGAGGACUCUGGUGGGACUGCCAGCGUAAGCUGCGAGGAAGGCGGGGAUGACGUCAAAUCAGCACGGCCCUUACAUCCGGGGCGACACACGUGUUACAAUGGCGUGGACAAAGGGAGGCCACCUGGCGACAGGGAGCGAAUCCCCAAACCACGUCUCAGUUCGGAUCGGAGUCUGCAACCCGACUCCGUGAAGCUGGAUUCGCUAGUAAUCGCGCAUCAGCCAUGGCGCGGUGAAUACGUUCCCGGGCCUUGUACACACCGCCCGUCAAGCCAUGGGAGCCGGGGGUACCUGAAGUCCGUAACCGAAAGGAUCGGCCUAGGGUAAAACUGGUGACUGGGGCU